rnacentral:rRNA from 1 species
GACGAACGCUGGCGGUGUGCUUAACACAUGCAAGUCGAACGGAAAGGCCCUUCGGGGUCCUCGAGUGGCGAACGGGUGAGUAACACGUGGGUGAUCUGCCCUGCACUUUGGGAUAAGCCUGGGAAACUGGGUCUAAUACCGAAUAGGACCACGCGCUUCAUGGUGUGUGGUGGAAAGCUUUUGCGGUGUGGGAUGGGCCCGCGGCCUAUCAGCUUGUUGGUGGGGUAAUGGCCUACCAAGGCGACGACGGGUAGCCGGCCUGAGAGGGUGACCGGCCACACUGGGACUGAGAUACGGCCCAGACUCCUACGGGAGGCAGCAGUGGGGAAUAUUGCACAAUGGGCGCAAGCCUGAUGCAGCGACGCCGCGUGAGGGAUGACGGCCUUCGGGUUGUAAACCUCUUUCAAUAGGGACGAAGCGCAAGUGACGGUACCUAUAGAAGAAGCACCGGCCAACUACGUG